GCCAUGACUCAGUGGCAGAACAUUUGCUUUGCACGCAGAGGGUUCCAGGUUCAACCCCUGGUGUCUCCA